CUAAUAUUAAUAAUUGAUAGGCGUUUAAGCAAUUUGUUACAACAUAUGGGUGUCAAGUGCAAUUAACUCUUAAUAAAUUGUUUUUACUCUAAAUUUUUAAAUGAUGAGAUUAUUACAUGCCAACGUUCACCGGAGAACCCAACAAAUCGCUGAACACGAACAACCACCACCCGUGGCGGCGGACGGCGGUCGCCAAUUUCUUCAGAAUGUAAUUAUGAUGAAUUUGCAGAGUUUAGAUCUUACACUUCUGUGAAGCCACUAACAUAUGGUUCAGCCUCACCCUGCAUUCAAAUACGAAGAAAAAAAAAGGCAAAGAAAAAGUCACCGGAUAUCAUUUUGGGAUGAAGAAAUUUACGAAGAAGAAACAAUCACUCAACGAGACUGAAAGGAUUACUUCGAGAACACAAGUUUGAUCGAACAAAUCUUGCAGAGACGGCAAAAAGUGAAGAAAUUUACCUGUGGGAGUUCGUAUUGGUGUCGUUGCUUGGCAAUGUAAGUGUUGCACCUGAUGCAAUAGAAGUAAGCAUCAUUCCCUAUGUGUUCCAUCACAAACAGCCUUCCCAUUUCUGCAGAGAUUUUUCCGACGAGAAUUCCGAUUCUUCAAGAACGAGAUGAUUAUUUUACUGUGGAAAUCCAGAAGAAAGGAAUUCAGGGAGAAACAAAUAAAGGGUUUAUGAUAAUGGGAGAGCUCAUAUAUGUAUGUAUAUAUACAUGUGUUAGGUAUCUAUAGUGUAUGUAUGUAUAGGAGGGAGAAGAGAAUCUGGAUAUCAGUUCAUAAUAACUGUCAUAACUGCCUCAACAGGUAUGCCUUUCUUUGUUAAACCAGUACACGCGCUUCUUGUAAAUAUUUUUAAAAUAUAUAAUUAACAUUUCUUUCUACCAA